rnacentral:rRNA from 3 species
UUAAGUUAUUAAGGGCGCACGGUGGAUGCCUUGGCACUAGAAGCCGAUGAAGGACGUUACUAACGACGAUAUGCUUUGGGGAGCUGUAAGUAAGCUUUGAUCCAGAGAUUUCCGAAUGGGGAAACCCAGCAUGAGUUAUGUCAUGUUAUCGAUAUGUGAAUACAUAGCAUAUCAGAAGGCACACCCGGAGAACUGAAACAUCUUAGUACCCGGAGGAAGAGAAAGAAAAUUCGAUUCCCUUAGUAGCGGCGAGCGAAACGGGAAGAGCCCAAACCAACAAGCUUGCUUGUUGGGGUUGUAGGACACUCUAUACGGAGUUACAAAGGACGACAUUAGACGAAUCAUCUGGAAAGAUGAAUCAAAGAAGGUAAUAAUCCUGUAGUCGAAAAUGUUGUCUCUCUUGAGUGGAUCCUGAGUACGACGGAGCACGUGAAAUUCCGUCGGAAUCUGGGAGGACCAUCUCCUAAGGCUAAAUACUCUCUAGUGACCGAUAGUGAACCAGUACCGUGAGGGAAAGGUGAAAAGCACCCCGGAAGGGGAGUGAAAUAGAACCUGAAACCGUGUGCUUACAAGUAGUCAGAGCCCGUUAAUGGGUGAUGGCGUGCCUUUUGUAGAAUGAACCGGCGAGUUACGAUUUGAUGCAAGGUUAAGCAGUAAAUGUGGAGCCGUAGCGAAAGCGAGUCUGAAUAGGGCGUUUAGUAUUUGGUCGUAGACCCGAAACCAGGUGAUCUACCCUUGGUCAGGUUGAAGUUCAGGUAACACUGAAUGGAGGACCGAACCGACUUACGUUGAAAAGUGAGCGGAUGAACUGAGGGUAGCGGAGAAAUUCCAAUCGAACCUGGAGAUAGCUGGUUCUCUCCGAAAUAGCUUUAGGGCUAGCCUCAAGUGAUGAUUAUUGGAGGUAGAGCACUGUUUGGACGAGGGGCCCCUCUCGGGUUACCGAAUUCAGACAAACUCCGAAUGCCAAUUAAUUUAACUUGGGAGUCAGAACAUGGGUGAUAAGGUCCGUGUUCGAAAGGGAAACAGCCCAGACCACCAGCUAAGGUCCCAAAAUAUAUGUUAAGUGGAAAAGGAUGUGGCGUUGCCCAGACAACUAGGAUGUUGGCUUAGAAGCAGCCAUCAUUUAAAGAGUGCGUAAUAGCUCACUAGUCGAGUGACACUGCGCCGAAAAUGUACCGGGGCUAAACAUAUUACCGAAGCUGUGGAUUGUCCUUUGGACAAUGGUAGGAGAGCGUUCUAAGGGCGUUGAAGCAUGAUCGCAAGGACAUGUGGAGCGCUUAGAAGUGAGAAUGCCGGUGUGAGUAGCGAAAGACGGGUGAGAAUCCCGUCCACCGAUUGACUAAGGUUUCCAGAGGAAGGCUCGUCCGCUCUGGGUUAGUCGGGUCCUAAGCUGAGGCCGACAGGCGUAGGCGAUGGAUAACAGGUUGAUAUUCCUGUACCACCUAUAAUCGUUUUAAUCGAUGGGGGGACGCAGUAGGAUAGGCGAAGCGUGCGAUUGGAUUGCACGUCUAAGCAGUAAGGCUGAGUAUUAGGCAAAUCCGGUACUCGUUAAGGCUGAGCUGUGAUGGGGAGAAGACAUUGUGUCUUCGAGUCGUUGAUUUCACACUGCCGAGAAAAGCCUCUAGAUAGAAAAUAGGUGCCCGUACCGCAAACCGACACAGGUAGUCAAGAUGAGAAUUCUAAGGUGAGCGAGCGAACUCUCGUUAAGGAACUCGGCAAAAUGACCCCGUAACUUCGGGAGAAGGGGUGCUCUUUAGGGUUAACGCCCAGAAGAGCCGCAGUGAAUAGGCCCAAGCGACUGUUUAUCAAAAACACAGGUCUCUGCUAAACCGUAAGGUGAUGUAUAGGGGCUGACGCCUGCCCGGUGCUGGAAGGUUAAGAGGAGUGGUUAGCUUCUGCGAAGCUACGAAUCGAAGCCCCAGUAAACGGCGGCCGUAACUAUAACGGUCCUAAGGUAGCGAAAUUCCUUGUCGGGUAAGUUCCGACCCGCACGAAAGGCGUAACGAUUUGGGCACUGUCUCAACGAGAGACUCGGUGAAAUCAUAGUACCUGUGAAGAUGCAGGUUACCCGCGACAGGACGGAAAGACCCCGUGGAGCUUUACUGUAGCCUGAUAUUGAAAUUCGGCACAGCUUGUACAGGAUAGGUAGGAGCCUUUGAAACGUGAGCGCUAGCUUACGUGGAGGCGCUGGUGGGAUACUACCCUAGCUGUGUUGGCUUUCUAACCCGCACCACUUAUCGUGGUGGGAGACAGUGUCAGGCGGGCAGUUUGACUGGGGCGGUCGCCUCCUAAAAGGUAACGGAGGCGCUCAAAGGUUCCCUCAGAAUGGUUGGAAAUCAUUCAUAGAGUGUAAAGGCAUAAGGGAGCUUGACUGCGAGACCUACAAGUCGAGCAGGGUCGAAAGACGGACUUAGUGAUCCGGUGGUUCCGCAUGGAAGGGCCAUCGCUCAACGGAUAAAAGCUACCCCGGGGAUAACAGGCUUAUCUCCCCCAAGAGUUCACAUCGACGGGGAGGUUUGGCACCUCGAUGUCGGCUCAUCGCAUCCUGGGGCUGUAGUCGGUCCCAAGGGUUGGGCUGUUCGCCCAUUAAAGCGGUACGCGAGCUGGGUUCAGAACGUCGUGAGACAGUUCGGUCCCUAUCCGUCGUGGGCGUAGGAAAUUUGAGAGGAGCUGUCCUUAGUACGAGAGGACCGGGAUGGACAUACCUCUGGUGUACCAGUUGUCGUGCCAACGGCAUAGCUGGGUAGCUAUGUGUGGACGGGAUAAGUGCUGAAAGCAUCUAAGCAUGAAGCCCCCCUCAAGAUGAGAUUUCCCAACUUCGGUUAUAAGAUCCCUCAAAGAUGAUGAGGUUAAUAGGUUCGAGGUGGAAGCAUGGUGACAUGUGGAGCUGACGAAUACUAAUCGAUCGAAGACUUAAUCAA